AUCCAGCUGACGAGUCCCAAAUAGGACGAAACGGUCGUUCUGGAU
rnacentral:hammerhead_ribozyme from 1 species